GCUGCUGGAGCUGGACCGGGUCACGCUCUAAGCCGGGGGCAGACGUGCGGACCCUCCUCAGAGCCGUGCCCGGAGGCUGAGGCUCAGCUUCUCCACAUGCUGCUUGCCAGCGCCUUUCAUGGGUGUUGCGUGGAGGCUCACCGUUAUGCUGCCUGCUUUCUGGUUUCAUCAGCCGGGCCAGAGUCUGGCAGGGUGCAUCCGUUUGCCUCAGGCUUGGACAUGUGUGAUGUCAGGAGGUCGUGGACGUCUCCUGUUUGAACCAGGUUUAAAUCAGUUCCCUCCCCCGCUUUCCUCCAGUCUGAGGCAGCUGCCCGGUACUGAGAAAGAGUUUGAGGAGUCUGAUGGCCUGAGGGGAGGAAAGAAGCUGCUCUUCAGUCUGGUGGUAUGCUGCAGGGCUCAAACAUAGUUUGCUCUGUUCAGCUUUUGACCACAGGGGGCGCCAGAAUCAACACAACUGAAAGUUCCUUGUAGCGGCUUUAAGUAAGAGACCAAUACCCUGUGGUGCAUUUAUAUUUUGAUGUGUGUACAAAAGUAGACAUAGUUAUACAAAUCAGCACAUUUCAGAAUAAUGCAUAUUCAAUUAUUCAACUAUGGUUAACAAUGCAUUAAUGUUUUCGUCACUUUCAGGUUGCAGCUGGUGGUUUGAAUGCUUUAUAGUUUAUAUGCUGGCUUAGCUUUUGG